rnacentral:lncRNA from 1 species
UAAAAAUUUCUGUCAUUGGUUACAAAUUUUUACUCAGACUUUCUAUUGGCAUGGAUUUCCUUUGACUUCUCACUUUUUAUAGAUUCUAAUGCAUCUGAACAACCCCACCUGGUCAGUGUGCCAAAUUGUCCAUUUUGAACUCAUCUCCAGCCAGUUUCAAAGACACUGUUUUGGAAGACAAAACAAAACAGACCAGCACAGUUCUGCAAUAACAGUUUUAACUUUAACAUGGGCAUAGCAUUUAGGGAGAAGGGUUCUUUAUUCAAUGUACUGUAUUGGGACGCUGGUAACUGUUAACCCAGUGUU